rnacentral:rRNA from 1 species
UACGUAAGGGGCAAGCGUUGUCCGGAAUCAUUGGGCGUAAAGAGCGCGUAGGCGGCCCUGUAAGUCCGCUGUGAAAGUCAAGGGCUCAACCCUUGGAUGCCGGUGGAUACUGCAGGGCUAGAGUCCGGAAGAGGCGAGUGGAAUUCCUGGUGUAGCGGUGAAAUGCGCAGAUAUCAGGAGGAACACCAAUGGCGAAGGCGGUUCUCUGGGCAUUACCUGACGCUGAGGAGCGAAAGUGUGGGGAGCGAACAGG